CUUUCUACACGCAUAGGUCCAAUCCAGUGAGUGUUGCCAAGAAAGAAACGGAGGCUAAGGUUAGACUGAUACUGAGUUGUAUCGAGCUCUUUUCUGUCAGUACACUUCGCAGAUCAGUGGAGCUAUGAUUUUGCUGGCAAUGUACAGAAAGAGGGAGUGGCACACAACCCUCCUAUUGUCUGCUUGCAUCCAAUUUGGAGCUAAUGAAGCACCUUGCAAAUUCAUCAAGAGAACCUUGCAAAUUCAUCAAGAGAACAUAGAUUAUACACGCUAACAAAUGAAACAAGCAAUGAUGGGCUGCUGCUGCUGCAGACUAUAAAAAAACACAGAUAGUGGUGUAGCUAUGAUCUCUUAAGCAUUGUUGAUGGCUCCACCCCCCGUCCUCCUCAGUUUAUUGUUGAUGAUACUGGGAAGACUACAUCUGAUCUCAGCCAUGCCUAUCUGUUAUGGCAGAAAAAAGGAUCAAUUUAUCCUCAGUAUGGACAAAUGCCACAUUAUCUGAGAAAGUUUUGUCCACUAUUUAUGGACUAACUUCUUCUCGCCAAUUAUGGACCACCUUGGCUAAUCGCUUUGCACCUCCCUCUCCCUCCCGCAUCUCCCAUCUCAAAAGACUCUUCUACAGACUUCGACAGCCCUGCCAAAUUUAUGGCAAAACAAAUCACCAAGCACUCGACUGCUAUAACAGGAUGCAUUUUUCUUACCAAGGGCGUCAUCCUCCAUCUCAACUUGCAGCAUUAACAGCCCAAUCAAAUGUCCACAUCACAGAUGAUCUUGACCACUUAUCUCUGUAACAACAGCCAUAUCAAGGUGCAGACACAGUUACUGUGGGUAAUGGAUGAGGAUCUGCAAACACAGGAGACACUCCUCCAAGGUUCGAGUGAAGCAGGCUUGUAUCCCAUCCAUCUGCAACAUCUUCGGUCCACUAAGGCAUCCCCGACGCCGAAUCAACAUCUUCCUCCCCUUUUCACCGUACUACUAGGAGUCAAGGCACCAAUCCAAGUUUGGCACUCAAGAUUAGGCCAUCCCUUUGAGUCUGUCCUUCAACAACUUGUUCUUCAGUCUGUCUUGCUUGUGUUUGGUUCGUCUAGACUUCAUAAACUCUGUGAAUCUUGUCAAAUGGCCAAGAGUCACAAACUUCCUUUUACAGAGACCAAUAACAGGCCUCCCUAUCCUUUAGAAUUAAUUCAUUUAGAUGUUUGGACCUUAACAAUUCAUUUUGUAAGUGGCUGCAAAUUUUAUGUUAUUUUCAUUGAUGAUUA